AGCAGCCGCGGUAAUUCCAGCUCCAAUAGCGUAUAUUAAAGUUGUUGCAGUUAAAAAGCUCGUAGUUGAAUUUCGGGAUCAAUAUGUUGGUCGUGCCUCGGUACGUACUAGCUUAUUGGUUUCCCCUUUCUGAAGAACCAUGAUGUCAUUUAUUUGGUGUCGUGGGGAAUCAGGACUGUUACUUUGAAAAAAUUAGAGUGUUUAAAGCAGGCUCACGCUUGAAUACAUUAGCAUGGAAUAAUGAAAUAGGACGUUUGAUUCUAUUUUGUUGGUUUCUAGGAUCGACGUAAUGAUUAAUAGGGAUAGUUGGGGGCAUUAGUAUUCAAUUGUCAGAGGUGAAAUUCUUGGAUUUAUUGAAGACUAACUACUGCGAAAGCAUUUGCCAAGGAUGUUUUCAUUAAUCAAGAACGAAAGUUAGGGGAUCGAAGACGAUCAGAUACCGUCGUAGUCUUAACCAUAAACCAUGCCGACUAGGGAUCGGAUGAUGUUAAUUUUUAAUGUACUCAUUCGGCGCCUUACG
rnacentral:rRNA from 1 species